rnacentral:piRNA from 1 species
AGCAAAGCCAUGGUCCCUACUCUUAAAUAG